UUUAGAGUUUGAUCCAUGGCUCAGAGCGAACGCUGGCGGCGUACCUAACACAUGCAAGUCGAGCGAGGGUCACGGUGUGAGCAAUCAUGGCGUGACUCUAGCGGCGGACGGGUGAGUAACACGUGGGUAACCUGCCCUCGAGACCGGGAUACCCCCUCGAAAGGGGGGCUAAUACUGGAUACGUUCCCCGGGUCGCACGAUCCGGGGAGGAAAGGUAGCUCGCAAGGGCUGCCGCUCGUGGAGGGGCUCGCGGCCUAUCAGCUAGUUGGUAGGGUAACGGCCUACCAAGGCGAUGACGGGUAGCUGGUCUGAGAGGAUGACCAGCCACACGGGGACUGAGACACGGCCCCGACUCCUACGGGAGGCAGCAGUGGGGAAUCUUCCGCAAUGGGCGAAAGCCUGACGGAGUGACGCCGCGUGGGGGACGAAGGCCUUCGGGUCGUAAACCCCUGUCAGAGGGAAAGACGGGUGUCGGCGUGCACAGCGCCGGCAUCUGACGGACUUUCAGAGAAGCCCCGCCA
rnacentral:rRNA from 1 species